CCUACGGGAGGCAGCAGUGAGGAAUAUUGGUCAAUGGGAGAGAUCCUGAACCAGCCAAGCCGCGUGAGGGAAGACGGCCCUAUGGGUUGUAAACCUCUUUUGUCGGAGAACAAAACCCGGGACGUGUCCCGGACUGCGUGUAUCCGAAGAAAAAGCAUCGGCUAACUCCGUGCCAGCAGCCGCGGUAAUACGGAGGAUGCGAGCGUUAUCCGGAUUUAUUGGGUUUAAAGGGUGCGUAGGCGGUCCGUUAAGGCAGCGGUAAAAUUGCGGGGGUCAACCCCGUCGAGCCGUUGAAACUGGCAGACGUGAGGUGGCGAGAAGUACGCGGAAUGCGCGGUGUAGCGGUGAAAUGCAUAGAUAGCGCGCAGAACUCCGAUUGCGAAGGCAGCGUACCGGCGCCAGACUGACGCUGAGGCACGAAAGCGUGGGGAUCGAACAGGAUUAGAUACCCGGGUAGUC
rnacentral:rRNA from 1 species